AAAUCCUUCUGUAACCAAUGUCAUGAUAUGUUUUGCAACAAUAAGGUUGCAAAGAUCUCGAGAGAGCUUUUUGCUUUUACUCAUCAUGAGAUGUUUCUUCUGCGACACCUUUAGUAAUGAGCAGUGUUGGGCAUGUUACUUUAAAAAAAGUAAUUAGUUAUAGUUACUAGUUACUUUUCCCAAAAAGUAACUGAGUUAGUAACUCAGUUACAGCAUUAUAAAAGUAAUUACUUACUAGGGAAAGUAACUAUUGCAUUACUUU